rfam:Bacillus alcalophilus ATCC 27647 = CGMCC 1.3604 strain AV1934 contig00033, whole genome shotgun sequence.
UUCUUAUCAAGAGAGGUGGAGGGACUGGCCCUUUGAAACCUCGGCAGCGGACUUUUUUAAGUACUGUGCCAAUUCCAGUAGCAUCGUGCUACAAGAUAAGAA